UUUGAUAUAAGAUGCAAGUGAUUGGCUUGACACAUGAAGAAUAUGUGUACUUUGAUAGAAAUGCUACUAAGAAGUCUAUCAUAUGGAUAUAACUAGAUCAAUCAUUCAAUUAAAGGGUUGAAAUGUGAUCAAUAGAAAUUUCAAUUUUGACAUAAAGGGCGAGGUAUCCUCCUUAUAGAUGAUCGGGAACUGGUAUGUCCCACUCAUCCAAUAAGCAGUACCAACAAGAUUGUACACCAGUGAUACAGACAGAGGUGUUGGCCAAUACUAACAGAGGUCUAGAUAGUAAAAGUGACCAACUACUAUUAGUCGAUAAUAUGUCAUCAUGCAUUACAUGCCUCUAUAGUUUUCUUGUCAUAAUGUUUACAUGUCCACACAUGAUAACCAUGUACAUCCAUCGUCAUAUGAUAUGUAUGCAUAAUUAGUUGUUUUAUUUCCCUACCCUUGUAUUCCAUGAUUUUUA
rnacentral:lncRNA from 1 species